UCAUUCUUAAUAAUAUAUCAUGUAAAAAGGAUCCAAAGAAAGAGCUAAACAGCAAAUGCUGAACUCACAUUUAAAAUUUGUCACUAAUAUAUCUUGAUGCAAUGGAAAAGGUUGAUGAUAAUCACCCAUUUUUUUGGAAAUUGUGGAGAAAGAAGCAUUAAAUAAAACAGGAAUGUGCUGUAUCUAGAAAGUUCAGGCUUUAUGGUGUAGGUCUACUAAAAAGUAAUAGACAAUUUCCUUAUUAGACAUUCAGAAAUGGCAGAUUUAGGUACAGAAUUUAUAUGGAAAUUUAGGUAUAGAAAUUAUAUGGAAAUAUAUGGUCAGAUUUUUUUUUUAAUCUACAAAAGGAAGUAAUUGAAAGAAUAGUGUGAGUACAAGAAAAAACAGAGAGGAGUGAUGAGAAUGAUCAAGUCAAGCUUCUAUGGGGACAAGGAAAAGAUGCUAAUGUUGUCACUGUGAGAGCAAGGUGUUAUUUAUUUCUCCAAGUGGAAAAGAUGUGAAGGAGUAAUGAUGGCAGCCUGAGAGGGCAACUUUAGGAUCUAGGGAAGCUCUAUACAUAGAUGGUUACAUAUUGCAUGUGAUUUGAGGGAGAAUCAAAUUAUCCCCUUGCCAAAGAUAAAUCUCUCGGUGGUCCCAUCUGUUACAAUAAAUCAAGACGCUAGUAUUUGAAACUGCCACAUAAUUUUAACUGAUGUAUCUGUUCUUAAGUAGGGAUUUGAUGAUAGGGGACACCAGGCAAGUAUGAUUUAAUGUCAGUGGAAGAUGUCAGAUGGUAUUGUCCAGCCCUUGAGUUAGCCCCAGUGAGAUCUAUGCAGAGUUGGAAGCCCUUAGCACAUUUAGCAUGGCUGACACCUGGAGUUACAGAGGAAGCAGAAUCCAAUGAUAGAUUGAAUCUUACUUUUUUGUUAAAGAUUAGCUGUUAGCAGUAUAUAUUCAGUCACAGUGCACACUGGCACUGCUACCCCAAACUAGGAAAAAUGGUUAAUUUUUUUUUUUUUUUUUUUUUUUAGGAAUACUGUUAUACCUAAUAUUUACCUCUAUUAUAAAAUUAUUUAGCUGGAUUGUAUUUAUUAUUUGUCAGUCACUGCUGUUAGAAUAUGAGAUCCUUGAAGGCAGGCUUUGAUAUUUUCAGUUUUGAGUUGAGGAUAGAGCUUGGUACAUGGAAGCUAGAAUAAAUCGUGCUGCAAAAGGUUUAUGGAGACUGGAGUUAAGGAGACCCACAUGUAGACCAUAGAUUCAUAAUGUAUCAGCUGUGCGGACUUGGGAAAGUUAUUUGGCUUCUCUGAAACUCAUUUCUCUCAUUUGUAAAAUGCGGAUACUACAAUCUACUUCUUUUAGUAAUGGGGAUUAAGUAUACGAACAUCAGAAAAGUGUGUAAUGUAUUUCCAUUGAAUAGUGAAUGUGCAAUAGUAGCAUACGUGGCAGAGUAUUGGGUGUCUACUGACGAGUCAAAUAAAAUUAAAUAAUUUUCAAGAGAAACAAAAACUUUUUAAAUCACACAGUACCUGGAGGAAAUACCAAAAAAAGUCAAACACAUUUAUCCGUUGUAUACUUAUUUUUAAAGUUCAUUAAAUCCCAAAUGUUGAGAAAGGAAGUAAAAUGCGAGGGAGCAGAAAGAGAAUUGCAAAAUAUUCUUGUGAUACCUUUUUUUUCUGUUUCAGAUUAUGGUGAUUUUUCAUUAUUCUUAAUUCAAGAAAAAAUUAUACCUGAGGUUAGCCUAAGGAUGCUGACCAGGCAAUAAUUCUGUCAUAAUUUUUGCCUCUAAAUAACAUAGGGGAGGUGUUUUCUUUAAUUUAUCUUAAAAUUCCCUUGAUUAGGAUAUUAAGAUCCUGCUUACAAUGAACUAGUUUUAGCAUAAAUCAGAUAAAGCCUUUUGUUCUACACUGCUCAGUAAGGAAAAGCUUAGCUUGCUUUUGACUUCUUUUGCCUAAUUGCUUUUCUCCAUUAAAAGAGAAUAUAUCAUGAAAAAAAUAUAAUCCCUUCCUGUCCUUCAGUUCUCUUCUUGGGUUUGCUUUGGAGAGUUUGAAAUUACAUGAAAGCUAUGAGAGAGCGAGAUAACUAUUCAGGAGAAAAUUAAGCUUCUUAGGGCGUGGAAGGAGGAGAGAUUCCUCACAUGAUUUGGUGGGUCUGUUAACACUUUAGGACUCAUAGAUAACAUUUAAGUGAAUAAUAAUUUACUAGGAGCCAGAAAGUAUAUGGCAAUGUGUUUUAAACCACUAUAAUUGUGAAGUCUACCAUAAUCAGAAAAUCACAGAAAUUGCUUUAGAAUGAAAAAGGACUUAAUCAACAAAUACUGGAAUCACAAAUUUGACAAAAACUUUAGACGUGUCCUGGUGCAAAUGCCUAUUCAAACAAACUAUUCUGCUAGUUAAGUAACGAGUGAUGAUUAAACUCUGUUUAUGCUUUCAGAAGAAGUAUGUACUUCUUACCUCAUAAAGUAAUAAUGUUUUCAGGAGAGAUUUAAUUAUUAAAAAGUUUUCCUUUUUUUUAAUCAAAAUCUGCCUACUGAAGCUAUUGCCAAUUAGCCAUCUGCAUGUUGUUAUUGCUGUUUCUUAAGAUAUUUAUUGAGCUUCUCCAAUGUGCUGUGCUCUAUGUUUUUAAUUUCUUUGGAGUUAAACACAUUAUGUCUAAUUUCUCAUUCACUUAAAAAAAUACUUUCUCUCUAUAUAUAUUUCUUCCCCCCAUCUUAGUCUGUUUUUGUUGCUAUGAUAAAAUACCAUAGAUGUGUAAUUUAUAAAGAAAAUAAGUAUUUCUUACAGUUCUGCAGGCUGGGAAGUCCAAGGGCCUGGCACUAGCAACCAGGGAGGGCCUUCUUGCUGCGUCAUAACAUGUGGAGGGCAUCACAUGGUGAAAGGGUAAGACAGUGCCUGCAAGCUCAAUUCUGUCUUCAUCAUCUUAAAGCCACAUGCCCCUGCAUGGGGGCCCCACACUGGUGACCUUAUCUAAUCCUAAUUACCUCCUAAAGGACCCACUUAUAGUCAGUGUAUUAAUUUGAAGAUUAAGUUUUCAACACACAAAAUUUGAGUGUUAAAGCCUCUUCCAUCUCUUUGCCGGCUCUCUCCUUUUGCUAAUCUUGGCAUACUCUAAUUGUCAGGAUACCUCUUAAAGUCAAGUCCAAAAUUACUUACACUAUCCCUGGAUUUCUGAGCAAGACAAAGUAAAAUGGAAGCAUUCUCUGGUACUGGAAAUAUUACUUCUGUUAAUGUCACCUAAAGUCAAAGGUAGGGGUGUGUGUGUAUGUGGGUGUGUGUGAGAAUCUGUAUAUGUGUUUUUGUCAGUGUUUUAUCAAUUCAUACUGAACUUAUAGUUAGUUGAAACCUCUGAGUUUUUCCACAUUAACUGUUCUUAAUCAGCCUUUCUGUACUAUACUCAACACUUGAUGUCAUCAGCCCACUUUAAAACAUGAAAUGUUACUAUUCAGCUCUACCUUCAAUCAUUAAAAAAAUAACUUAUCUACUAAGGGUACUAUUCAAGAUACUAUGAAUACAAACAUAGAUAAGGCAUAGUAUCUGUUCUAGAAGGAUUUAUCGCUCAUUAGGUGAAUACAUUUGUAUAUGCAAGUCUCAUGAACGGUUAAAAGCCCUAUAAUGUAAGUUAGUUACAAAAAUCAACAUUCUUUGUUAGCUGAGUAUUGUUGAGUGAUGAGUGUUGGCUAGAGUGACAUUGUUGGUAGCGUGUUAGUUUUCUCUUGAUGCCAUAACAAAUUACUACUAAUGUAAUAGCUUAAACAGCAUAAAUUUAUUAUCUCACUCUUCCGUAGGUCAGAAGUCUUCCAUGGAUCUCUCUGGAGUAAAUCUGGUUUGUCAUCAAUGCUGCGUUCCUGUUAGAAGCACUAGGACAUAAUCUGCUUUCUUCCUUUUCCGGCCGUUUUUGAGGCUGCCUACAUUUCUUGGCUGGUGUCCCCUUUCUUUCAUCAUCAAAGCCAGUAAGCUUGCAUCUCUCAGACCAUUAUUCUCUAGUCAGAUUUUCCUCUGACUCCUCUUCUGCUAUUUUCUUCCACUUGUAAGGAGCUUGUGACAACAUCGGGUCCAGGGUUCUCACGCUCUCUUUAGGUCAGGUGAUUAGCAAACUAAUUAACAUCUUUAACCUUAAUUGCCUUUGGCAACUUUAAGGGCAAAAUUUGUAAUACUUUUUUCUCACCCAUUAUAAAAGUCAUAGCCAACACUCCUGUAAUGAAGAACAGAUUAACAAGAGAAAAGUGUAACAAACUUAAAGUUUAAUGUAACACAGGAAACUUCAGAGAUGAAGACCCAAAUAUCCAGGGAAAGCUGUGUAUGUUUUAUGCUUAGUUUCAGUGAAGAAUGGACAGCCAUGUAGAAAUGUGAUUGGACAAAAGAGUAUAAUCUACUGGUAAUAGACUGAGGGGGGAAACCCAGAAAGGUCUGUUUUUUUUUGUUUGUUUGUUUUCAGAUUCUUCUCUGUGUAGCAUUAUUUCCUCCAGAGUAUUGGGCAAUGAGGGUCUUCAAGGAAAAAGGGAGAGUGUCCUUUCUAAAUUUUAUGGCUUAGUUAAGGGAAGAAGACUUUUAGUUUCUAGACUGACCUUGGGGAAAUGCAAUUCUGGUUUCUGUGGUUUGCUUCUGGGCGGAAGGAGGGGUGUGAGAAAGGAGGGCAGGAAAAGGUCAGAGACCUUGUUUCUGAGGCUUUUCCAAUCUCCUUCAGUUCAAAGUACUCAGCAUGCGUGGGUGCCAUACUUUGGAUAUUAAGUUUGGAGCCCUAACCCAUGUAAUCCAACCUAUUUACAGCUUCUGGAGAUUAAGAUGUGGACAUCAUUGGGAUGUGAUUAUUUUUGCCUAGCACAGGUAGACACAUUUCAGGCAGAAGCAUAAUGUAGAUAUGCAAGAGAAGUGCAGGUUGCAAGCAAUUAUGAAUGCAUCAAGGAAGCCUAAAGGAUGAAACGAGAGACAGACAGUGGUCAAGAUGAUGGAAAGACUUAAGGAACAAGAUCAGAUUGGUUGUUUAAAAAGAUUAUCAGCAAGAGAACAGAUUUAAGAAAUGCAGAACCAAAGAUAAGAAAACAGAAAAACAACAAUUACUUAGUCAAGAAAGAUACCAGAAGCUUAUACUAUUUUCUUAGCACCAGAGGUGAAAAAGAAGGAAUAGAUUUCAUAUGUGCUAAGGAGUUAGGGUCUAUGGGAUUUGCUGAUUUAUUACGUACAAGAGGGCAUGACUGGAGUCAAGACUGAUUUCCUGAUUUUUAUGUUAAGACUCUAGGUGAAUGGUGGUGUCAUUUAUGGUAUGGAUUACUGAAGAGAAAGUAGAGAUAGGGAGUCAGUCAAAGGAAGAGAAAUGCUUCUGAUUUCCAUUUUAGCACACGGACAUAACUAAACUAUAUUGAACCCUCAUGCGUAACUCCAUUUCUGUGUUACCCACAAAUAUGAAAUUAA